rnacentral:rRNA from 1 species
ACAAGUACCGUGAGGGAAAGUUGAAAAGUACUUUGAAAAGAGAGUGCAAGAGAACGUGAAACCGGUGUAAUGGAAGCAUAUGGAGUUGACGUAUCUGGUGCGUAUUCAGUUGUCGGUCGGCGUGCUGGCGGCGUUCGUCAUUCCGCAAGGUUGGCGGCGUUGUUGUUGGCGCGUUGGUCGGCAAUGCAUUUGCGUACGGAGUGCGCCGAGUCGCGUGGUGACGCGUAUCGAAGACGUUCGAGAGGACACCGCUUCGGCGGUGAAACCUUGUGCGUUGGAGGUUCGUUGUCGGGCCGCGUGAUUUCGUGGAGGCUCGGGCCAACGCUCGUUGGGGCGUCGAUUUGGUCGGUUCGCGUUGUACGCAUGCGUGCGGCGCUUAUGGGCUAGGUCGGCGUUUCGGCGUGCACUGUUCCUCUUCUCGGUGUUCAGUCAAUGACCCAUUUGACCCGUCUUGAAACACGGACCAAGGAGUUUAUGGUAUACGCGAGUCAUUGGGCUUUACGAAACCCAAAGGCGUAAUGAAAGUGAGACCAUUACGGUUUGAAUGUGAUCGGUGUGAUGUUUCGACGUUCGCCGAGCAACAUUGCCCCGUUUCGAGGACUUGUCCUGUUGCGGAGGUUGAGCGUAUGCUAUGAGACCCGAAAGAUGGUGAACUAUGCCUGAACAGGAUGAAGUCAGAGGAAACUCUGAUGGAAGUCCGAAGCGGUUCUGACGUGCAAAUCGAUCGUCUGAUUUUGGUAUAGGGGCGCAAGACUAAUCGAACCAUCUAGUAGCUGGUUCCUUCCGA